GCCAGGCGCAGUGGUGCAUGCCUGUAAUCCCAGCAACUUGGGAGGCUGGGGCAGGAGGAUUGAAAGUUCACAGCCAGCCUCCGCAACUUGGCAAUAUCCUGUCUCAA
rnacentral:sRNA from 1 species